GGGAAAGCUAGACCUGCAGAGUGAAGAAAGCUGGUAAUAGAUGUCUGACAAACUAAAGAAAGACUUGUGUUACUGUCUGCACACUGGAAAUUCUUCCUGGUUGUGAGACAAGACCUCAGACUUAUCUGAGCUAAGGGGAAGAAAGACUGCAACAGUGUUGGGCCUGUGGGUACACAGAAGUCAAGAAUUGAAGAUUGGAAACCUCCACCUAGAUUUCAGAGGACAUAUGGAAAUGCCUGGAUAUCUAGGCAGAAGUCUGCUACAGGGGCAGAGCCCUCAUGGAGAACCUCUACUAGGGCAGUGUGGAAAGAAAAGGUGGGGUUGGAGACUCCACACAGAGUCCCCACUGGCACACUGCCUAGUGGAGCUGUGAGAACAGGGCCACCAUUCUCCAGACCUCAGAAUGGUAGAUCAAAUGACAACUUGCACCAUGCACCAGGAAAAGCCACAAGCUCUCAAUAUCAGCCUGUGAAGGAGCUGCCUAAGGCCAUGGGAACCCACCUCUCCCAUCAGCAUGCCCCCGAUAUGAGACAUGGCGCCAAAGGAGAUUAUUUCAGAGAUUUAAGAUUUAAUGACUGCCCCACUGGAUUUUGGACUUGUGCAGGGCCUAUAGCCCCUUUGUUUUGGCCAAUUUCUCUCAUUUGGAAUGGGAGCAUUUACCCAAUGCCUGUAUCCCCAUUGUAUCUAGGAAGGAACUAACUUGUUUUUGAUUUUACAGGCUUAUAGGCAGAAGGGACUUGCCUUUUCUCAGAUGAGACUUU
rnacentral:lncRNA from 1 species